AUGCAAGUCGAGCGGACUGAUGGGAGCUUGCUCCCAUCAAUCAGCGGCGGACGGGUGAGUAACACGUGGGUAACCUGCCUGUAAGACUGGGAUAACUCCGGGAAACCGGGGCUAAUACCGGAUAACUCAUUUCCUCGCAUGAGGAAAUGUUGAAAGAUGGCUUCUUGCUUUCCUUUACAAAGGGACCCGCGGCGCAUUACCUAUUUGGGGAGGUAACGGCCCACCAGGGCAACAAUGCGAACCCAACCGGAAAGGGGGACCGCCCACCCGGGAACGGAAACACGGCCCAAACCCCUACGGGAGGCACCAUAAGGGAAUCUUCGGCAUGGAACAAAAGUCUGACGGACCACCGCCCCGGGAGUGAUGAAGGUUUUCGAAUCGAAAAACUCUGUUGUUAGGAAAAAMCAAGUACCGUUCGAAUAGGGGGGUACCUUGACGGUACCUUAAUCCAAAAAGCCACGGCUAACUACUUGCCACCAGCCGCGGUAUUACGUAGGUGGCAAGCGUUGUCCGGGAAUUAUUGGGCGUAAAGCGCGCGCAGGUGGUUUCUUAAGUCUGAUGUGAAAGCCCACGGCUCAACCGUGGAGGGUCAUUGGAAACUGGGGAACUUGAGUGCAGAAGAGGAAAGUGGAAUUCCAAGUAUAGCGGUGAAAUGCGUAGAUAUUUGGAGGAACACCAGUGGCGAAGGCGACUUUCUGGUCUGUAACUGGACACUGAGGCGCGAAAGCGUGGGGAGCAAAACAGGUAUUAGAUACCCUUGUAGUCCACGCCGUAAACGAUGAGUGCUAAGUGUUAGAGGGUUUCCGCCCUCUUUAGUGCCUGCAGCUAACGCAUUAACSCACUCCGCCUGGGGAAKUACGGCCCAAGACUGAAAAYUCAAAGGAAUUGACGGGGGCCCCSCACACAGCGGUGGAARCAUGAUGGUUUAAUUUCGAAGCAACGCGAAGAACCUUACCAGGUCUUGACAUCCUCUGACAACCCUAGAGAUAGGGCUUUCCCCUUCGGGGGACAGAGUGACAGGUGGUGCAUGGUUGUCGUCAGCUCGUGUCGUGAGAUGUUGGGUUAAGUCCCGCAACGAGCGCAACCCUUGAUCUUAGUUGCCAGCAUUCAGUUGGGCACUCUAAGAUGACUGCCGGUGACAAACCGGAGGAAGGUGGGGAUGACGUCAAAUCAUCAUGCCCCUUAUGACCUGGGCUACACACGUGCUACAAUGGACGGUACAAAGGGCAGCAAGACCGCGAGGUUUAGCCAAUCCCAUAAAACCGUUCUCAGUUCGGAUUGUAGGCUGCAACUCGCCUACAUGAAGCUGGAAUCGCUAGUAAUCGCGGAUCAGCAUGCCGCGGUGAAUACGUUCCCGGGCCUUGUACACACCGCCCGUCACACCACGAGAGUUUGUAACACCCGAAGUCGGUGAGGUAACCUUUGGAGCCAGCCGCCUAA
rnacentral:rRNA from 1 species